UGUGUGUGUGUGUGUGUGUGUGUGUGUGUGAUGGGUGCUCCAUGUGACAGAGUGGAUUGAUCAUGACACAAACAGAUGUAUGUCGGUGCAAACAUGCAGAAUUGUCACGCUGAUGACAACCCCAGCUGAAGCGCUACAGAUGUGCGUGCCAGUGACGUGCAGUGAUGUCCGUGGCUGAUUUAAACCCUGUAGAACAUCUAUGAGAUAUUCUGGAUUGCCAGGUGAGAAGGUGUGAUCCAGAAGCGGCCGCAGUCCAACAGUUGCGU